AUUGAACGCUGGCGGCAGGCCUAACACAUGCAAGUCGAGCGAGCGGCGGACGGGUGAGUAAUGUAUGGGGACUGCCCGAUAGAGGGGGAUAACUACUGGAAACGGUGGCUAAUACCGCAUACUAUCGGAUAACCCAUAUGGGAUUAGCUAGUAGGUGGGGUAAAGGCUCACCUAGGCGACGAUCUCUAGCUGGUCUGAGAGGAUGAUCAGCCAAACUGUGACUGAGACACGGCCCAAACUCUUACGGAGGCAGCAGGGGGAAAUAUUGCACAAUGGGCGCAAGCCUGAUGCAGCCAGGCCGCGUGUAUGAGGAAGGCCUUAGGGUUGUAAAGUACUUUCGGCGGGGAGGCGUUACCCGCAGAAGAAGCACCGGCUAACUCCGUGCCAGCAGCCGCGUAAUUC
rnacentral:rRNA from 1 species